GUCCCCAAUCCCUCGGAGAAAGAGACAGGUAUGGGAUGGAUUCACAUUGCAAAGAGGGGACAGCGAUGGUCCCCUCUUUGCCUCCACUCCCAGGUGGAGAUAUCCCCUUGUGUAGGGCCCCAUCAGGUUGCUGAGGGGUGCUGGGGC